rnacentral:rRNA from 1 species
AUUGAACGCUGGCGGCAGGCCUAACACAUGCAAGUCGAACGAGUGGCGGACGGGUGAGUAAUGUCUGGGCAACUGCCCGAUGGGGGGGGAUAACUACUGGAAACGCUAGCUAAUACCGCCUACCAUCGGAUGUGCUCCGAUGGGUUUAGCUAGUAGGUGGGGUAUCGGCUCACCUAGGCGACGAUCCCUAGCUGGUCUGAGAGGGUGACCAGCCACACUGGAACUGAGACACGGUCCAGACUCCUACGGGAGGCAGCAGUGGGGAAUAUUGCACAAUGGGCGCAAGCCUGAUGCAGCCAUGCCGCGUGUAUGAAGAAGGCCUUCGGGUUGUAAAGUACUUGCAGCGGGGAGGCGUUACCCGCAGAAGAAGCACCGGCUAACUCCGUGCCAGCAGCCGCGGUAAUAC